rnacentral:rRNA from 1 species
AGUGAACGCUGGCGGUAGGCCUAACACAUGCAAGUCGAACGGCAGCACAGUAAGAGCUUGCUCUUACGGGUGGCGAGUGGCGGACGGGUGAGGAAUACAUCGGAAUCUACUUUUUCGUGGGGGAUAACGUAGGGAAACUUACGCUAAUACCGCAUACGACCUACGGGUGAAAGCAGGGGAUCUUCGGACCUUUCGCGAUUGAAUGAGCCGAUGUCGGAUUAGCUAGUUGGCGGGGUAAAGGCCCACCAAGGCGACGAUCCGUAGCUGGUCUGAGAGGAUGAUCAGCCACACUGGAACUGAGACACGGUCCAGACUCCUACGGGAGGCAGCAGUGGGGAAUAUUGGACAAUGGGCGCAAGCCUGGUCCAGCCAUACCGCGUGGGUGAAGAAGGCCUUCGGGUUGUAAAGCCCUUUUGUUGGGAAAGAAAAGCAGCAGGUUAAUACCCCGCUGUUCUGACGGUACCCAAAGAAUAAGCACCGGCUAACUUCGUG